GCCGAUGUAGCUCAGUUGGCAGAGCAGCGCUUUCGUAAAGCGAAGGUCGUCGGUUCGAUUCCGACCAUCGGCUCCA
rnacentral:tRNA from 1 species